AGAGUUUGAUCAUGGCUCAGGAUGAACGCUAGCGGCAGGCCUAAUACAUGCAAGUCGGACGGGAUUGGAGAGCUUGCUUUCCAUGAGAGUGGCGCACGGGUGCGUAACACGUAUGUAACCUACCUUGAUCAGGGGGAUAGCCUCUCGAAAGAGAGAUUAAGACCGCAUAACAUUGCAAUGUGGCAUCACAAAGCAAUCAAAUAUUUAUAGGAUCAAGAUGGGCAUGCGGAACAUUAGCUAGUUGGUAAGGUAACGGCUUACCAAGGCUACGAUGUUUAGGGGAUCUGAGAGGAUGACCCCCCACACUGGUACUGAGACACGGACCAGACUCCUACGGGAGGCAGCAGUAAGGAAUAUUGGUCAAUGGGCGCAAGCCUGAACCAGCCAUGCCGCGUGCAGGAAGACGGCCCUAUGGGUUGUAAACUGCUUUUAUACUGGAAUAAACCUCUUUACGUGUAGAGAGUUGAAUGUACAGUAAGAAUAAGGAUCGGCUAACUCCGUGCCAGCAGCCGCGGUAAUACGGAGGAUCCAAGCGUUAUCCGGAUUUAUUGGGUUUAAAGGGUGCGUAGGUGGUUCUUUAAGUCAGGGGUGAAAGACGGCAGCUUAACUGUCGCAGUGCCUUUGAUACUGAAGAACUUGAAUCCACUAGAGGUAGGCGGAAUGUGACAAGUAGCGGUGAAAUGCAUAGAUAUGUCACAGAACACCAAUUGCGAAGGCAGCUUACUAUGGUGGUAUUGACACUGAGGCACGAAAGCGUGGGGAUCAAACAGGAUUAGAUACCCUGGUAGUCCACGCCCUAAACGAUGAAUACUCGAUGUUGGCGAUAUACGGUCAGCGUCUAAGCGAAAGCGUUAAGUAUUCCACCUGGGGAGUACGCCCGCAAGGUGAAACUCAAAGGAAUUGACGG
rnacentral:rRNA from 1 species